CCAGGACCAUUCCUCCCAUCCAGUCAUGAAUUUGUUUUGCCAGGUGGAUGGAGACUUGGGAACUUCAGAGACCUGCCUGGCCCGCUGAUCCAGGCCCAGGUUCAACAUGUGCAAAAUGGGAAUAAUAGUGCCACCUCACAGAGCGGUACUGGAGGUGACGUUUAGAACAAGGUUAUAGAACUGCUUAGCAUGUACUAGCUUCUCGGCAACACAGUAUCCUACCAUCCGCGCUGCAGUCAUCUGGCCCCUUUUUGUUGCUGCGUUACCUUGCACGAGGGACAUGAGCUGGCGUCUGU